GGGAGCUUAGAUGUGGAAGCUCUUUGGAAACCAAGAAACACUCUGAAAAUGAAAAGGAUACCAACUUCAUCUCUCUUUAAGAAUACAAUAUUAGUUUAAAAGAUUGUUCAACUUAAAGCAAUCUUGUAGAGAUUGUCACCCAUGAUUGAUGCUGGCAUAAGAAUGUUUAUCACAGCAUGGCAUAUAUUGGAAGUUUAGUAAAUGAAGAUACAUCCAAUCUGACAUUCUAUUCACAACCACAAAGAGAUAAUGUAGAAACAUAUUUAGUAAUGUGAGAAAAUACUAAAUAUUAAGUGAAAAAGGUGGAAGAGUAAACUGUUCCUGUUUCUCCAUCUUGACAGGAAGCAGAAGUUCUCCUUAGCUGAUUUUUCUUCUUGCCUUAUACUGGGUUCUUUAACACCAGAACAAAAAUAAAUAAAUAAAAGAAUCUUCCAGAAAUUCAUGAAGAGACUUCAGGUCAGGAAAGCCUGAACUUUCUCAUCCAACACCCGUUCAAGUCGGAGGAUGCUGAUUAAUUCAUGAUGGAAAGGUAUCAAUUUCACAGCCCAGACCUCUACAUUCUUGAAAUGCUCUUCUCAUGGGAGACAUUAAAUAAGCUUUGAAUUAACUUGCCAUGACACCCAGGAUGCAGCUGUAGGAACACCACUGGGUCCCUGGAUGUCAUGUAAGCCCUUAAGUAAAAGUGCCAUCAAAUGAUUUCUCAGAAAUUAUAAAGAAACAAAAGGACCAUAAACAAGAUAAGGUGGCAUGAGGAAACAUUACAAGUACCUUUCAGAGCUGACUGGCAAAGAAACUCCUGAGGUGACGG
rnacentral:lncRNA from 10 species